CCUACGGGAGGCAGCAGUGGGGAAUUUUGGACAAUGGGCGAAAGCCUGAUCCAGCAAUGCCGCGUGCAGGAUGAAGGCCCUCGGGUUGUAAACUGCUUUUGUACGGAACGAAAAGCCUGGGGCUAAUAUCCCCGGGUCAUGACGGUACCGUAAGAAUAAGCACCGGCUAACUACGUGCCAGCAGCCGCGGUAAUACGUAGGGUGCAAGCGUUAAUCGGAAUUACUGGGCGUAAAGCGUGCGCAGGCGGUUUUGUAAGACAGUGGUGAAAUCCCCGGGCUCAACCUGGGAACUGCCAUUGUGACUGCAAGGCUAGAGUGCGGCAGAGGGGGAUGGAAUUCCGCGUGUAGCAGUGAAAUGCGUAGAUAUGCGGAGGAACACCGAUGGCGAAGGCAAUCCCCUGGACCUGUACUGACGCUCAUGCACGAAAGCGUGGGGAGCAAACAGGAUUAGAUACCCUGGUAGUCCACGCCCUAAACGAUGUCAACUGGUUGUUGGGAAUUAGUUUUCUCAGUAACGAAGCUAACGCGUGAAGUUGACCGCCUGGGGAGUACGGCCGCAAGGUUGAAACUCAAAUGAAUUGACGGGG
rnacentral:rRNA from 1 species